ensembl:lncRNA
UCUCUGGCUGGGUGGAGGACUCUCAGUUAGACUGGACAGGUCUCUGGCUGGGUGGAGGACUCUCAGUUAGACUGGACAGGCCUCUGGCUGGGUGGAGGACUCUCAGUUAGACUGGACAGGCUGGGUGGAGGACUCUCAGUUAGACUGGACAGGUCUAUGGCUGGGUGGAGGACUCUCAGUUAGACUGGACAGGUCUCUGGCUGGGUGGAGGACUCUCAGUUAGACUGGACAGGUCUCUGGCUGGGUGGAGGACUCUCAGUUAGACUGGACAGGCCUCUGGCUGGGUGGAGGACUCUCAGUUAGACUGGACAGGCCUCUGGCUGGGUGGAGGACUCUCAGUUAGACUGGACAGGUCUCUGGCUGGUUGGCUGGGUGGAGGACUCUCAGUUAGACUGGACAGGUCUCUGGCUGGGUGGAGGACUCUCAGUUAGACUGGACAGGUCUCUGGCUGGGUGGAGGACUCUCAGUUAGACUGGACAGGCAUCUGGCUGGGUGGAGGACUCUCAGUUAGACUGGACAGGCUGGGUGGAGGACUCUCAGUUAGACUGGACAGGCUGGGUGGAGGACUCUCAGUUAGACUGGACAGGUCUCUGGCUGGGUGGAGGACUCUCAGUUAGACUGGACAGGUCUCUGGCUGGGUGGAGGACUCUCAGUUAGACUGGACAGGCCUCUGGCUGGCUGGGUGGAGGACUCUCAGACUGGACAGGCCUCUGGCUGGGUGGAGGACUCUCAGUUAGACUGGACAGGUCUCUGGCUGGGUGGAGGACUCUCAGUUAGACUGGACAGGUCUCUGGCUGGGUGGAGGACUCUCAGUUAGACUGGACAGGCCUCUGGCUGGGUGGAGGACUCUCAGUUAGACUGGACAGGCUGGGUGGAGGACUCUCAGUUAGACUGGACAGGUCUCUGGCUGGGUGGAGGACUCUCAGUUAGACUGGACAGGUCUCUGGCUGGG